rnacentral:rRNA from 1 species
CAAAUCUUGACAUCCUUUGAUCGCUCUAGAGAUAGAGUCUUCCCCUUCGGGGGACAAAGUGACAGGUGGUGCAUGGUUGUCGUCAGCUCGUGUCGUGAGAUGUUGGGUUAAGUCCCGCAACGAGCGCAACCCUUAAGCUUAGUUGCCAUCAUUAAGUUGGGCACUCUAGGUUGACUGCCGGUGACAAACCGGAGGAAGGUGGGGAUGACGUCAAAUCAUCAUGCCCCUUAUGAUUUGGGCUACACACGUGCUACAAUGGAUAAUACAAAGGGCAGCGAAUCCGCGAGGCCAAGCAAAUCCCAUAAAAUUAUUCUCAGUUCGGAUUGUAGUCUGCAACUCGACUACAUGAAGCUGGAAUCGCUAGUAAUCGUAGAUCAGCAUGCUACGGUGAAUACGUUC